rnacentral:rRNA from 1 species
CGUCUACAUUAGAUACCCGCGUAGUCCCAGCCGUAAACUAUGCGCGUUAGGUGUAUCGGUGACCACGAGUCACCGAGGUGCCGAAGGGAAACCGUGAAACGUGCCGCCUGGGAAGUACGGUCGCAAGGCUGAAACUUAAAGGAAUUGGCGGGGGAGCACCUCAACGGGUGGAGCCUGCGGUUUAAUUGGACUCAACGCCGGGAAGCUCACCGGAUAAGACAGCGGAAUGAUUGCCGGGCUGAAGACUCUGCAUGACUAGCUG